rnacentral:rRNA from 1 species
AUUGAACGCUGGCGGCAUGCUUUACACAUGCAAGUCGAACGGCAGCACGGGGGCAACCCUGGUGGCGAGUGGCGAACGGGUGAGUAAUACAUCGGAACGUGCCCGGUCGUGGGGGAUAACGUCGCGAAAGUUACGCUAAUACCGCCUACGAUCUGAGGCUGCAAGCGGGGGACCUUCGGGCCUCGCGCGAUCGGAGCGGCCGAUGUCAGGUUAGUUAGUUGGUGGGGUAAAGGCCUACCAAGCCGACGAUCUGUAGCUGGUCUGAUAGGACGACCAGCCACACGGGGGCGGAGACACGGCCCAGACGCCUACGGGAGGCAGCAGUGGGGAAUGUUGGACAAUGGGCGCAAGCCUGAUCCAGCCAGUCCGCGUGCAGGACGAAGGCCUUCGGGUUGUAAACUGCUUUUGUAUGGAACGAAAAGGCUCUGGCUAAUACCUGGGGCUCAUGACGGUACCGUAAGAAGAAGCACCGGCUAACUACGUG